AGUGCUUCUUCUUACGAAGUGAUAAACAUUGGAGGCAUAUUUUGGAAAAUAGAAUCGAUAAUAUAUGUAAAUAUUUUAAAAACUAGAAAAACAAUGUUAAAACCAAAAGCUUUAACUCAAGUGCUAAGUCAAGCGAAUACUGGGGGUGUUCAGAACACAUUAUUACUCAGCCAAGAAGGCGCUUUACUGGCAUAUUCUGGAUAUGGUGAUAAGGAUAAGGAUGCUAGAGUAACGGCGGCCAUUGCUAGUAAUAUCUGGGCUGCUUAUGAAAAACACGGUCGUAAUGCUUUUCGCGAAGACAUUUUAACAUUUGUACUCUUGGACUGUGAGUGCGGUCAUGUAGCCAUAACUCAGGUCGCAGGCAUCUUAUUAUGUUUAUAUGCUAAAGAAUGUGUAGGACUUGGCUUGUUAAAACAGAAGACGAUGGCUUUGGCAACGUAUUUAGAAGGCCCGUUAAAGCAAAUAGCAGCCUCUUAAAAGCCAUUGACUAUCGGGACUUUGCUUUAUUCCUUACCGUAUUUAAUAAAUAUUUACAAUAACUAAUUUGGCUGCAUGAACUGUCCAUUACUUAUUCAACAGCAUAUAACUUAAGAGUACGAUCCAUACUUGUC